UACGGAGGGUGCAAACGUUGCUCGGAAUCAUUGGGCGUAAAGCGCACGUAGGCGGUCGGCUAUGUCGGAUGUGAAAGCCUCGGGCUUAACCCGAGAAGGGCAUCCGAAACUGGCCGGCUUGAGUACGGAAGAGGGUCUCGGAAUUCCCGGUGUAGCAGUGAAAUGCGUAGAGAUCGGGAGGAACAUCAGUUGCGAAGGCGGCUCUCUGGACCAGCACUGACACUGAGGCACGAAAGCGUGGGGAGCAAACAGG
rnacentral:rRNA from 1 species